UGGGGAAUUUUGGACAAUGGGCGAAAGCCUGAUCCAGCAAUGCCGCGUGUGUGAAGAAGGCCUUCGGGUUGUAAAGCACUUUUGUCCGGAAAGAAAUCCUUGGCUCUAAUACAGUCGGGGGAUGACGGUACCGGAAGAAUAAGCACCGGCUAACUACGUGCCAGCAGCCGCGGUAAUACGUAGGGUGCAAGCGUUAAUCGGAAUUACUGGGCGUAAAGCGUGCGCAGGCGGUUUGCUAAGACCGAUGUGAAAUCCCCGGGCUCAACCUGGGAACUGCAUUGGUGACUGGCAGGCUAGAGUAUGGCAGAGGGGGGUAGAAUUCCACGUGUGANCAGUGAAAUGCGUAGAGAUGUGGAGGAAUACCGAUGGCGAAGGCAGCCCCCUGGGCCAAUACUGACGCUCAUGCACGAAAGCGUGGAACGCAAAGCAGGAUUAGAUACCCUGGUAGUCCACGCCCUAAACGAUGUCAACUAGUUGUUGGGGAUUCAUUUCCUUAGUAACGUAGCUAACGCGUGAAGUUGACCGCCUGGGGAGUACGGUCGC
rnacentral:rRNA from 1 species